rnacentral:misc_RNA from 1 species
GAUGAAGAACGCAGUGAAAUGCGAUAAGUAGUGUGAAUUGCAGAAUUCAGUGAAUCAUCGAAUCUUUGAACGCACAUUGCGCCCCUUGGUAUUCCAUGGGGCAUGCCUGUUCGAGCGUCAUUUGUACCUUCAAGCUCUGCUUGGUGUUGGGUGUUUUGUCUCGCCUCUGCGUGUAGACUCGCCUUAAAACAAUUGGCAGCCGGCGUAUUGAUUUCGGAGCGCAGUACAUCUCGCGCUUUGCACUCAUAACGGUGACGUCCAAAAGUACAUUUUUACACUCUUGACCUCGGAUCAGGUAGGGAUACCCGCUGAACUUAAGCAUAUCAAUAAGCGGAGGA